rnacentral:tRNA from 1 species
UCCCUCAUAGCUCAGUCAGUAAAUCAUCUGCCUGUAGUGCAGAAGACCCGGGUUCAAUCCCUGGGUCUGGGAA